AUUGAACGCUGGCGGAAUGCUUUACACAUGCAAGUCGAACGGCAGCACGGGGCAACCUGGUGGCGAGUGGCGAACGGGUGAGUAAUACAUCGGAACGUGCCCAAUCGUGGGGGAUAACGUAGCGAAAGUUACGCUAAUACCGCAUACGAUCUACGGAUGAAAGCGGGGGAUCGCAAGACCUCGCGCGAGUGGAGCGGCCGAUGUCAGAUUAGGUAGUUGGUGGGGUAAAGGCUCACCAAGCCAACGAUCUGUAGCUGGUCUGAGAGGACGACCAGCCACACUGGAACUGAGACACGGUCCAGACUCCUACGGGAGGCAGCAGUGGGGAAUUUUGGGACAAUGGGCGCAAGCCUGAUCCAGCCAUUCCGCGUGCAGGAUGAAGGCCUUCGGUUGUAAAGCACUUUGUUGGGAGAAACGGUCGGAUUAAUACUUCGGCUGAAUGACGGUACCCAAAGAAUAAGCACCGGCUAACUUCGUGCCAGCAGCCGCGGUAAACGU
rnacentral:rRNA from 1 species